rnacentral:rRNA from 1 species
GAUGAACGCUGGCGGCGUGCCUAACACAUGCAAGUCGAACGGAGUUAUUAUUAUGAAGUUUUCGGAUGGAUUAAUAAUAACUUAGUGGCGGACGGGUGAGUAACGCGUGGGUAACCUGCCUCAUACAGGGGGAUAACAGUUGGAAACGACUGCUAAAACCGCAUAACAUUGCGACGUCGCAUGACGAUGCAAUUAAAUAGUUAUAGGUAUGAGAUGGGCCCGCGUCUGAUUAGCUAGUUGGUGAGGUAAUGGCUCACCAAGGCGACGAUCAGUAGCCGGCUUGAGAGAGUGACCGGCCACAUUGGGACUGAGACACGGCCCAAACUCCUACGGGAGGCAGCAGUGGGGAAUAUUGCACAAUGGGGGAAACCCUGAUGCAGCGACGCCGCGUGAGUGAAGAAGUAUUUCGGUAUGUAAAGCUCUAUCAGCAGGGAGGAAAUUGGCGGUACCUGACUAAGAAGCCCCGGCUAACUACGUGCCAGCAGCCGCCGCAG